rnacentral:rRNA from 1 species
GAUGAACGCUGGCGGCGUGCCUAAUACAUGCAAGUCGAGCGAACGGACGAGAAGCUUGCUUCUCUGAUGUUAGCGGCGGACGGGUGAGUAACACGUGGAUAACCUACCUAUAAGACUGGGAUAACUUCGGGAAACCGGAGCUAAUACCGGAUAAUAUUUUGAACCGCAUGGUUCAAAAGUGAAAGACGGUCUUGCUGUCACUUAUAGAUGGAUCCGCGCUGCAUUAGCUAGUUGGUAAGGUAACGGCUUACCAAGGCAACGAUGCAUAGCCGACCUGAGAGGGUGAUCGGCCACACUGGAACUGAGACACGGUCCAGACUCCUACGGGAGGCAGCAGUCGGGAAUCUUCCGCAAUGGGCCAAAGCCUGACGGAGCAACGCCGCGUGAGUGAUGAAGGUCUUCGGAUCGUAAAACUCUGUUAUUAGGGAAGAACAUAUGUGUAAGUAACUGUGCACAUCUUGACGGUACCUAAUCAGAAAGCCACGGCUAACUACGUG